UACGGAGGGUGCAAACGUUGCUCGGAAUCAUUGGGCGUAAAGCGCACGUAGGCGGACCGCUAAGUCGGAUGUGAAAGCCCUCGGCUUAACCGAGGAAGUGCAUUCGAAACUGACAGUCUUGAGUAUGGAAGAGGGUCGCGGAAUUCCCGGUGUAGAGGUGAAAUUCGUAGAUAUCGGGAGGAACACCAGUGGCGAAGGCGGCCAUCUGGACCGGAACUGACGCUGAGGCGCGAAAGCUAGGGGAGCGAAUGGG
rnacentral:rRNA from 1 species